UCAAAACAAACAAAAAGGAAAUGAACUCAAUUUUGACAGUAAAUAAAUUUUGGUGGUGGCACUUACGAAUCAGCUAAUCGUGAGAGGUAACACCUGUGUAUAUUGUCAAAACAAAAAGAUAUUACAAAAAGGCUUGUC
rfam:Paludibacter propionicigenes WB4, complete genome.